rnacentral:rRNA from 1 species
GACGAACGCUGGCGGCGUGCUUAACACAUGCAAGUCGAACGAAGUGGAGAACGGGUGCGUAAUACGUGGGUACCCUGCCCUCCCUUUUGGGAUAAGCCUUGGCAACGGUGGAUAAUACCUAAUAAAGGUGCAUGGGGUCGCGGCCUAUCAGCUGGUUGGUGGGGUGAUAGCCUACCAAGGCGGUGACGAGUAGCCGGCCUGAGAGGGUGCCCGGCCACAUAUGGACUGGGAUACUGCCCAGACUCCUACGGGAGGCGGCAGUGGGGGAUAUUGCACAAUGGGCGAAAGCCUGAUGCAGCGACGCCGCGUGGGGGAUGAAGGCUUUCGGGUUGUAAACCUCUUUCGCUAUAGAACGGGUAGGUGGAGAGAAAGCGCCGGCUAACUACGUGCCAGCCGCCGCGGUAAUUC